UACAGAGGGGGCAAGCGUUGUUCGGAAUUACUGGGCGUAAAGGGCGCGUAGGUGGCCUUCUAAGUUGAACGUGAAAUCCCUGGGCUCAACCCAGGAACUGCGUCCAAGACUGGGAGGCUUGAAUCCGGGAGAGGGAUGCGGAAUUCCAGGUGUAGCGGUGAAAUGCGUAGAUAUCUGGAGGAACACCGGUGGCGAAGGCGGCAUCCUGGACCGGGAUUGACACUGAGGCGCGAAAGCCAGGGGAGCAAACGGG
rnacentral:rRNA from 1 species